rnacentral:rRNA from 1 species
AACACAUGCAAGUCGAGGGGCAGCACAGGUACCAUUACCGGGUGGCGACCGGCGCACGGGUGAGUAACGCGUAUGCAACUUACCUAUCAGAGGGGGAUAACCCGGCGAAAGUCGGACUAAUACCGCAUGAAGCAGGGGCCCCGCAUGGGGAUAUUUGCUAAAGAUUCAUCGCUGAUAGAUAGGCAUGCGUUCCAUUAGGCAGUUGGCGGGGUAACGGCCCACCAAACCGACGAUGGAUAGGGGUUCUGAGAGGAAGGUCCCCCACAUUGGUACUGAGACACGGACCAAACUCCUACGGGAGGCAGCAGUGAGGAAUAUUGGUCAAUGGCCGAGAGGCUGAACCAGCCAAGUCGCGUGAGGGAUGAAGGUUCUAUGGAUCGUAAACCUCUUUUAUAAGGGAAUAAAGUGCGGGACGUGUCCCGUUUUGUAUGUACCUUAUGAAUAAGGAUCGGCUAACUCCGUGCCAGCAGCCGCGGUAAUACGGAGGAUCCGAGCGUUAUCCGGAUUUAUUGGGUUUAAAGGGUGCGUAGGCGGCCUUUUAAGUCAGCGGUGAAAGUCUGUGGCUCAACCAUAGAAUUGCCGUUGAAACUGGGAGGCUUGAGUAUGUUUGAGGCAGGCGGAAUGCGUGGUGUAGCGGUGAAAUGCAUAGAUAUCACGCAGAACCCCGAUUGCGAAGGCAGCCUGCCAAGCCAUUACUGACGCUGAUGCACGAAAGCGUGGGGAUCAAACAGGAUUAGAUACCCUGGUAGUCCACGCAGUAAACGAUGAUCACUAGCUGUUUGCGAUACACUGUAAGCGGCACAGCGAAAGCGUUAAGUGAUCCACCUGGGGAGUACGCCGGCAACGGUGAAACUCAAAGGAAUUGACGGGGGCCCGCACAAGCGGAGGAACAUGUGGUUUAAUUCGAUGAUACGCGAGGAACCUUACCCGGGUUUGAACGCAUUCGGACCGAGGUGGAAACACCUUUUCUAGCAAUAGCCGUUUGCGAGGUGCUGCAUGGUUGUCGUCAGCUCGUGCCGUGAGGUGUCGGCUUAAGUGCCAUAACGAGCGCAACCCUUGCCACUAGUUACUAACAGGUAAAGCUGAGGACUCUGGUGGGACUGCCAGCGUAAGCUGCGAGGAAGGCGGGGAUGACGUCAAAUCAGCACGGCCCUUACAUCCGGGGCGACACACGUGUUACAAUGGCGUGGACAAAGGGAAGCCACCUGGCGACAGGGAGCGAAUCCCCAAACCACGUCUCAGUUCGGAUCGGAGUCUGCAACCCGACUCCGUGAAGCUGGAUUCGCUAGUAAUCGCGCAUCAGCCAUGGCGCGGUGAAUACGUUCCCGGGCCUUGUACACACCGCCCGUCAAGCCAUGGGAGCCGGGGGUACCUGAAGUCCAUAACCGCGAGGAUCGGCCUAGGGUAAAACUGGUGACUGGGG